GUAGGUGGCAAGCGUUGUCCGGAAUUAUUGGGCGUAAAGCGCGCGCAGGUGGUUCGUUUAAGUCUGAUGUGAAAGACCCCCCCGGGCUCAACCCGGGGGAGGGUCAUUGGAAACUGGGGAACUUGAGUGCAGGAGAGGAAAGUGGAAUUCCACGUGUAGCGGUGAAAUGCGUAGAUAUGUGGAGGAACACCAGUGGCGAAGGCGACUUUCUGGCCUGUAACUGACACUGAGGCGCGAAAGCGUGGGGAGCAAACAGGAUUAGAUACCCUGGUAGUCCACGCCGUAAACGAUGAGUGCUAAGUGUUGGGGGGGUUUCCGCCCCUCAGUGCUGCAGCUAACGCAUUAAGCACUCCGCCUGGGGAGUACGGUCGCAAAGACUGA
rnacentral:rRNA from 1 species